rnacentral:rRNA from 1 species
CUUGCUUCUCUUGAGAGCGGCGGACGGGUGAGUAAUGCCUAGGAAUCUGCCUGGUAGUGGGGGAUAACGUUCGGAAACGGACGCUAAUACCGCAUACGUCCUACGGGAGAAAGCAGGGGACCUUCGGGCCUUGCGCUAUCAGAUGAGCCUAGGUCGGAUUAGCUAGUUGGUGGGGUAAUGGCUCACCAAGGCGACGAUCCGUAACUGGUCUGAGAGGAUGAUCAGUCACACUGGAACUGAGACACGGUCCAGACUCCUACGGGAGGCAGCAGUGGGGAAUAUUGGACAAUGGGCGAAAGCCUGAUCCAGCCAUGCCGCGUGUGUGAAGAAGGUCUUCGGAUUGUAAAGCACUUUAAGUUGGGAGGAAGGGUUGUAGAUUAAUACUCUGCAAUUU